UCCAGACUCCUACGGGAGGCAGCAGUGGGGAAUAUUGCACAAUGGGGGAAACCCUGAUGCAGCGACGCCGCGUGAGUGAAGAAGUAUUUCGGUACGUAAAGCUCUCUCAGCAGGGAAGAAAAAAAGUCCUUUGGACUUUGGACGGUACCUGACUAAGAAGCCCCGGCUAACUACGUGCCAGCAGCCGCGGUAAUACGUAGGGGGCAAGCGUUAUCCGGAUUUACUGGGUGUAAAGGGAGCGUAGGCGGUUUAGCAAGUCAGAAGUGAAAGCCCGGGGCUCAACUCCGGGACUGCUUUUGAAACUGUUGAACUAGAUUGCAGGAGAGGUAAGCGGAAUUCCUAGUGUAGCGGUGAAAUGCGUAGAUAUUAGGAGGAACACCAGUGGCGAAGGCGGCUUACUGGACUGUAAAUGACGCUGAGGCUCGAAAGCGUGGGGAGCAAACAGGAUUAGAUACCCUUGUACG
rnacentral:rRNA from 1 species